GACGAACGCUGACGGCGUGCUUAACACAUGCAAGUCGAAGGGAGUGGCGAACGGGUGAGUAACACGUUAGUAACCUGCCCUUUUCUUUGUGAUAAGCCUGGGAAACUGGGUCUCAUACUGGAUGGAUUGGGAUGGGCUCGCGGGUUAUCAGCUUGUUGGUGGGGUGAUUGGUUACCAAGGCUUUGACGGGUAGCCGGCCUGCUAGGGUGGUCGGGCACACUGGGACGGAGAUACGGCCCAGACUCCUACGGGAGGCAGCAGUGGGGGAUAUUGCACAAUGGACGAAAGUCUGAUGCAGCGACGGCGUGGGGGGGAUGAAGGCCUUCGGGUUGUAAACUCCUGUCGCCAGAGGAAUGGUAGUGGGUAAAGAAGCGCCGGCUAACUACGUGCCAGCAGCCGCGGUAAUUC
rnacentral:rRNA from 1 species